rnacentral:rRNA from 1 species
CCUACGGGAGGCAGCAGUGAGGAAUAUUGGUCAAUGGCCGGAAGGCUGAACCAGCCAUGCCGCGUGAAGGUCAGUGCCCUAUGGGCGUUAAACUUCUUUUGUGCGGGAGCAAUAAUGGUCACGUGUGGCAAGACGAGAGUACCGUACGCAUAAGCAUCGGCUAACUCCGUCCCAGCAGCCGCGGUAAUACGGGGGGUGCAAGCGUUAUCCGGAAUUUUUGGGUUUAAGGGGGGCGUAGGUUGGUAAGGAAGUCAGCGGUGAAAUGCCCCCGCUCAACGGGGUGAAGUGCCAUUGAUACUGCCUUGCUGGAAUGCGGAUGCCGUAGGAGGAAUGUGUGGUGUAGCGGUGAAAUGCGUAGAUAUCACACAGAACACCGAUUGCGAAGGCAGCUCACGAAUCCGCGAUUGACGUUGAGGCACGAAAGCGUGGGUAUCAAACAGGAUUAGAUACCCUUGUAGUC